rnacentral:misc_RNA from 1 species
UGGACUACUCGGGUUUCUAAUCCUGUUCGCUCCCCACGCUUUCGUCCAUCAGCGUCAAUCGUUUGUUAGUAACCUGCCUUCGCAAUUGGUAUUCCAUGUAAUAUCUAAGCAUUUCACCGCUACACUACAUAUUCUAGUUACUUCACAAAAAUUCAAGUCUUACAGUAUCAAUGGCAGUUCCAUCGUUGAGCGAUGGGCUUUCACCACUGACUUAUAAGACCGCCUACGGACCCUUUAAACCCAAUGAUUCCGGAUAACGCUUGGAUCCUCCGUAUUACCGCGGCUGCUGGCAC